GAUGAACGCUAGCGGCAGGCUUAACACAUGCAAGUCGAGGGGCAACACGGGUAGCAAUACCUGGUGGCGACCGGCGCAAGGGUGCGUAACGCGUGAGCAACAUGCCCUAUACAGGGGGAUAAUCCAGGGAAACUUGGUCUAAUAUCCCAUAGUAUUUAGAGGUGGCAUCACCACUAAAUUAAAGCUUCGGUGGUAUAGGAUUGGCUCGCGUGACAUUAGCUGGAUGGUGGGGUAACGGCUCACCAUGGCGAUGAUGUCUAGGGGUUCUGAGAGGAAGACCCCCCACACUGGGACUGAGACACGGCCCAGACUCCUACGGGAGGCAGCAGUGAGGAAUAUUGGACAAUGGAUGGAAAUCUGAUCCAGCCAUGCCGCGUGCAGGAAGACGGCCCUAUGGGUUGUAAACUGCUUUUAUAUGGGAGCAAUAAGGUCUACGUGUAGACUGAUGAGAGUACCAUAUGAAUAAGCAUCGGCUAA
rnacentral:rRNA from 1 species